UGUACAACAUCCAUGAGGCAUUUGUCUUGGGUCGACUAAUGAUGGGGUAAUAGAUUUGAAGGCUGGUUAAUGAAAUUUGACAUAAAAGAGGUUCAUCAUCAGCAACUAGACUGAGGGAGCUGUGAGCCAUCUUUACCUUUGUUUGAAGAGGAAAAAUAAUUUGUUUAAUACUGUCUUUCUAAUAACAAUUGAGCAAUUUUAGCAGAGCUAUACUCAUUGUUUUGGUAGUUAAUAAUGCAAUUUGGGAUAUGACUUAUAGAGUUUUAGUAUUUAAAUCAAUAGAAGUGUGAAAAGAAUCAAAAGGAAAUGAGAAGGCUAACAAAAUGGACAGGUGGACCGCUCAGAUUAAA
rnacentral:lncRNA from 1 species